rnacentral:other from 2 species
UAUUCUCGGCGUAGGGUACAGAGGUUAAGAUGUUCUAUCUUUCAGACCUUUAUUUCACUUUUAGUGAUCAGCCAAAUUCUGGCGCCCCAGCAAUCAUUUGCUGGGGCUUUUUUUC